rnacentral:lncRNA from 1 species
AUUGAAAGCCAACAAGCCCGUAGACAGAUGAAACAGACCCAGACUUCAGAUAAUGAGCUAAGCAUACAUCAUUUACAAAAGAACUCUCAGGCUUAGAUAUUUUAGUAAUUAUGUAUAAAGAAGCAAAACACAGGUUUAUAUGUUUAUCAGAGUUAGGAAGGGCAGACUUUCCACCCUUAUCCAGGCAGCUUUUGUUUAUCAUGUUAUUAGUUCAGCCUUAUGUUUCACAGAUGUUGUUCCUGCUGGAGCGACUGGUUUGGCAGUUUCCCUCCUAUUCCCAGAACAUUCAAGAUAAAAUUGCAUGUCUUCUGGUUUUCAAUGCAACUGUUGAUAAAUCAGCUCUCUGCCUAAUGUUGUUUUUUGGAAAGCUCCUCUCCUGAAGGCAUCUAAUCACAGAAAGCAAAGGUGGAUGCUAGCCUGAGAGACUAACCUGCCCAAAGGACUACUGAAAUGAGAAAUCACUUUUUUAAGUACACAAGGGGCCAAAUCUAUGGAGAAACUGACCAAAAAUAGAGAAGAGAGUACUCUCCAGAACUCCAUUUCUCAAUUAAAUUUUUUAUAUACCUGGUACUUGAAUCAUUUCUUCCAAAUUAAAAAUUAGAAACUACUCCCAAAGUCUCAUCUACGUCAUCUGUCAGACAUCUCCCUUGAUGAGGCUCCUGGCAGUCAUUGCCAAGUUAAUUGUACAAAAGCGGGGUGGUUGUUCCGUGAGUCCUGGGAAUCAACACUUGAGACUGAGGCUAAGAAGAAAGGACACAGCUGGUCUGGUUCCUCCCUGGCAUAGCUCCCAGAUUUAAAGGAGGUUGUCCCAAAAGAAGAAACUGAGGCAAGGACUGGUGCAGGUAGUUUAUCAGGAAGUGAUUUUAGGAGUUAGGAAUGAGGAAUGAGAAGAAGCUACUGUAAUCAACGAGGAUUCCAUGGGAACGUCUGAGAAUUGUCCGUCUGAAUGGCAUGGGGCUACGGCAUAUCAUCUAACCAUGGUUGUACAUGGGGCUCUUAAUGCCUCAUGUUUCCAAAAUGCAUUGCCUAGUGCACCAAGCCAGCCACUGUGACUUCAGAGAAGUCCCUAGGAAGAAAGCAGAAAGACACAUGGACAUGGCUUGAGGUGGGCAGGUUGCCAACAGACUGAUUCUGAGCCCCCCAAGGACUGCCCACCAACUCUGCAAUUAAAAUCAGAGGUGGGUCAAGAGGCUCAAAAUCAUUCACUACAUAGGCUACUAAAUUGAUUGGGUAGCAGAUAAUUACAAAUAAUUUUGUAGUUAAUAAUCAACAUGUGGUAGUGAUAAGAACCAGACUGCUUGAAUUCAAAUCCUGGCCUCCACCAACUGCAUGACUUCAUAUAUGCCUCCAUUACCUCAUAUUUAAAGUAGAAAUAAUAAUAGAAUUUUCUUCAUCAUGCCGUUGUGAAGAUGAAAUGAAUUAAUUUGCUUACUAGAGAGCCU